UCCAAGCAAAACUCAUAAAAUGUUGCUGCUGCACAUUAUUAUUCUGGCUUUGGUUUUGUCUUACGGAUGCGCACAAAUACAUCUCAGACAAGCUCAGUUGUCCAUUACCAGGGCAAAAGAUAAAACUGCACGUAUAGACUGUGAGGCUUCUGGCAUUCACAACUUCAGGACUGCUGUUAUACACUGGUAUCGACACAGACCUGGAGAAGCUCCAGAGCGGAUUCUGUACAUCUCAUCUGAAAAAGUUGAAUUUGACAAAGUCUCUGAUAAGAACAAGUUUGAUUGUGAAAAUAACCCUGACCAGCCCAUCUCUACCCUAGUAGUAAAUGGAAUAACUGCUGAUGACAGUGCUAUCUAUUAUUGCGCUUAUUGGGAUGACACAGUGUUAGAAAGCCAUAGACAGUCUGUACAAAAACCUCACUCUGUAUUCUGAGCCACAGACUUUCACAAGAGUAAAAAAAUUACAGCUGCCUCCUGGCUUCAGCUCUGAGAUUAAGGAGUAGAUACUCCUUCCUGUUUUCUCUCAGCUAGACAUAAGACCACCACAUACAACAGAGGUUUUUAAGUAUGGCGGGUAUAGAUUUAAAAGCGUGUAGUAAAAGCAAAAACUUUUAUAGAUACAAUGCAGCAUGUGUCUGACUGUGUC